ACGGGUGAGUAAUACAUCGGAACGUAUCCUGGAGUGGGGGAUAGCCCGGCGAAAGCCGGAUUAAUACCGCAUACGCUCUGAGGAGGAAAGCGGGGGACCUUCGGGCCUCGCGCUCAAGGGGCGGCCGAUGGCGGAUUAGGUAGUUGGUGGGGUAAAGGCCUACCAAGCCGACGAUCCGUAGCUGGUCUGAGAGGACGACCAGCCACACUGGGACUGAGACACGGCCCAGACUCCUACGGGAGGCAGCAGUGGGGAAUUUUGGACAAUGGGGGCAACCCUGAUCCAGCAAUGCCGCGUGUGUGAAGAAGGCCUUCGGGUUGCAAAGCACUUUUGUCCGGAAAGAAAUCAUCGGGGCCAAUACCCCUGGUGGAUGACGGUACCGGAAGAAUAAGCACCGGCUAACUACGUGCCAGCAGCCGCGGUAAUACGUAGGGUGCGAGCGUUAAUCGGAAUUACUGGGCGUAAAGCGUGCGCAGGCGGUGCUGUAAGACCGAUGUGAAAUCCCCGGGCUAAACCUGGGAACUGCAUUGGUGACUGCAGCGCUGGAGUAUGGCAGAGGGGGGUGGAAUUCCACGU
rnacentral:rRNA from 1 species